GCCGUCUAUCUUGAAGACACAACAAGAAACAAUCAGGGACUCAUCAUCAAAGAGAGACAGAAUCAUCUGCAAACUUCAAGCUAGCAAGGUUCGGUGCGACUGGAGCUCAUCGAUUCCCAUGACAUUUGGGAAAAGAAUUCUCAGAGGCAAAAGGAGUGAAAUAUUUUGCUGGAGGGGAUACUUUCCUUUCAAGAAGCAUUCCUUUGCCUCCUGAACAAGAUGGAGGAAAGAGAAUAAAUCAAAGACAAUGCGAAAACGUGUCCAGUCAAAACAAUUAUGACCGUCCUGAGCCAUCUUAACUGUCCUGCAGAUUAAAUCAUGAGAUAUAAGUGCAGUCCUUGCUCUUCAUCAAAGAACCUUCUCUUUGGAACAUAGAGGCUACAAUCAACAGCAUGCAGAAAUGUGGAGCCCAAUCCCAAAGGAUUCAACUCCUACAUCUAAGGCUCAAGGAUCAUAAGAGGAAGCAAAGAAGUGAGAUUCUGCGGAGUACAGAGAUUGAUGGGUGACUUGGUGUCCUAGGAUUGUGAGAAGCUGCCAUAAAGCCUCACCAGCGUGGUGGCCUAAACAUGAGCUGAACAAGGACAACAGCAGACAAUAUACUUACUCUAAAGGAACAGUCAUCUUUCUAUUUACUUGAGGAACUUCACCAAAUAUAGAAACGGCGUGAUGAUAAUUCACUCCCGGAAGAGACGAUUGUUCGAAGGGACACCUUAGGAUCAAUGAUCCUUCUUUGCUUUUGACGGAGAACAGGUGUGGAAGAAGCAAAACUUUGAUAUUUUCUUCGUUAACUGCUGUACCCCGGUGAUUUUUUCCCCUGACAGUCUAGUGCUGGUGGAAAAUAUUUCUUGGAAAAGUCUUUCAGUUUUAGGCUAGAUAACACCACUGAGUUAGUCAUGAGCAAGAAUUUGUAAUAUAGCAAAUAAUGAGGCUUCCUUCUGAUUAACAUCAUUUGUAUCAUAAACAAAAUUGGCCCCAUUGAAAUCAUUCUUCCUAAUUGAAUAUAAUGAAUUUUUAUCAGACAUUCUGGUUUUUAAUUUGUGUGUAAUAAAGAUCCUUUAAGAUGCCAACUUCAGGCAAUAAAAGCAGGAUUUAAUGUCACGCAAAAAUAAAAUACCUUUACAGCAUAGAUUCUAAUUUGAUUGUAGGUCAUCAAAUGUCCAUGUUUAGAAUUUCCUAUAAAAGUUAUUACUACAAGAUAACAUAUUCAAUGUAAAUCAGAUCUAUAUAAAAUGAAUUGGAGCAUUUAAUAGCAAAAUUAGUACUGUAUAAUCAUCUAUUCUCUGUUAAAUAGUACUUAAAAUUAAAAACUGAAACAAUGUGGGGUUCAUAAAGAUAUUUUGUUCGACUUGCACAUUGAGGAUGAGUUAUGCACUUAAUGUUACACAUUAUACAAUAUUUUGCUGAAAAUCAUACCUUUUCCUCAUGACUUCAUGAUUUCUUAUUUUUUUUUAUUUUUCCCAAAAAGAUUAAAACAGCUAUCAUUUUAUGUCUCCAUAUUUAAAAGAGGUUUAUACAACUGCAUGAAACAUUAUUAAAUAUUUUAAGAUGGUUUUAUUAUAUCUUANNNNNNNNNNNNNNNNNNNNNNNNNNNNNNNNUUUCAUGAUUCUCAAAUUUUAUAGAGAUUAAUAAAAUGUAAGCAUUCCACUCAUCUUAAUUAGACACAGUGUGACUGGAGAACUGAACACUGGCACCCAGAACAAGAUCAGUUUCGAAAUAAAAAACAGUAAAAAUAAAUAGGUGGAAAUAGUCUAUAUUUUAAGUUGCAUUAUAUAGAAAAUACAUUGUCUCUAGGAGAAACUUUUCCAAAGACUUGGUUUCUACUAAAGUAAAACAGAAAUAAAAAUGUGUUAAUCCCCGGCACACCAUGUUUAUAUGCCUUGAAGUUUUGAUUCACCAAAAUCUUUUUUGCCGAGUCAACAGACAUACCCAUAAACAGUUUAGGAUAAAUACAUUUUCAUUGCUAUACGAUAUAGUCACAUCAUAAAUGAGGUGUGACCAGUAGAAGGCACUCUUACAAUAAAUAUAUACACCCAGCAGCUCAUCUGCCAACUGGGUGGAAAUUCUGAUAAGAGUUUUACAAACUGUCCACGGCACAGGGGUGCCCUGCACGGAGACAUCAAAGUACAAAUUCGUCCUGUAUACACUAAGAAAAACUCAUUAUAAGUCCUUUUGUGUCAUUUUUAUUUGGGGUUCAGCCCAUUUGCAAUUUUACUGCCCUCAUUUUUAACCUCCUUAGUUCACAAAAAGAAUCAUGUGGUCACACUUACCAUUUUCACCACUGCAUUUAAAGGACGUUGCUCUCUUGAGAAAUGACUCAGACUCUUGAGGAGUUAGUGAUUCGAUUCAUACAGGCUGCUUCAAAACAAGCGUCUAGUUUCAUUCUUAUUAACCUUUCGAGGUUUGAUCAUAAUUUGCUAGUGCAUGCAGGAUAGACGGUCUUGUUAAUGGAGCUGCUUGGACGGAUGAAAACACCUCUAAUUAAAUCUCUGUCAAACGUAUGGCUAACAAUGUUGUUUAGUUUGUGUUCAUAUACAAAAUCUCUUGAAUGACUCUCCAAGUUUACAAAAUCCAUGUUAAAGGAGCCAGC
ensembl:lincRNA